rnacentral:rRNA from 1 species
CUCUGGCACCAUAGCAGUUUGAGGGCACCCCAGCCCAGAAGCUAAGCAGGGUCAGACUUGCCUGGAGCUUGGAUGGGGGGGCCACCUGGGAACAACAAGGGGUGGAGG